rnacentral:rRNA from 1 species
UCGCCUGUUUUUCAAAAACAUCGCUUAUGACACCUACCAUAAGUAGAACCUGCCCAGUGCUCGAAGUAAACGGCCGCAGAAUUUUAACUGUGCUAAGGUAGCACAAUCCAUUGCCUCCUAAUUAGAUGCUAGAAUAAACGGUCUUACGAAAAUUAAUCUAUCUUCAUUAUACAAUUAAACUUGACUAAAAAGUUAAAAGUCUUUUUAAAUAAUAAAAAGACGACAAGACCCUAAAAACUUAGCCUUAAUUAUAAAAAAAAAGAAAUUUCAUAAAAAGGAUUUUACUGGGGCGGUAUUCUCUACUUAAAAACAAAUGAACAUAUAAACACCAUGUGUGAAAUCUUCCAAACUUUAGCAAAACUAAAACUCAAAGUUACUUUAGGGAUAACAGCGUUAUAUUAUUUAAGAGCCUUUAUCAACAAUAAAGAUUACGACCUCGAUGUUGAAUUGAAAACGUCUAAAUAGGACAGCCCCUAUAAAAGAAAGUCUGUUCGACUUUUAAUUUUUUACAUGAUUUGAGUCCCAAACCGGA